ACUACGGGUGGCAGCAGUGAGGAAUAUUGGUCAAUGGGCGGAAGCCUGAACCAGCCAAGUAGCGUGCAGGAUGACGGCCCUACGGGUUGUAAACUGCUUUUAUACGGGAAUAACGCGCCUUACGUGUAGGGCUUUGCAUGUACCGUAUGAAUAAGGACCGGCUAAUUCCGUGCCAGCAGCCGCGGUAAUACGGAAGGUCCGGGCGUUAUCCGGAUUUAUUGGGUUUAAAGGGAGCGUAGGCGGCAUGUCAAGCGUGCUGUGAAAUGUCCGGGCUCAACCCGGGCCUUGCAGCGCGAACUGGCGUGCUUGAGUCCGCGGAAAGCAGGCGGAAUUCGUCGUGUAGCGGUGAAAUGCUUAGAUAUGACGAAGAACCCCGAUUGCGAAGGCAGCUUGCUGCAGCGGAACUGACGCUGAUGCUCGAAAGCGCGGGUAUCGAACAGGAUUAGAUACCCUUGUAGUC
rnacentral:rRNA from 1 species